rnacentral:rRNA from 1 species
AAUUAACGCUGGCAGUGUGCAUAAUACAUGCAAGUCGAGCGAAGUAUGCCCGCAAGGGUAUGCUUAGCGGCAGACGGGUGAGUAACACGUGAGAAAUCUGCCUUCAAGAAGGGGAUAACGCGCCGAAAGGCACGCUAAUACCCUGUACUAUCCCUAGAGGACAUCCUCAGGGGAUGAAAGCCUUCGGGCGCUUGAAGAGGAUCUUGCGGCCUAC